AAAUGAUCUAGUAAAAGUGAGGUAAACUUUAAAAACCUUUAUGUAACCACAAGAAAUAAAAAAUCCAUGUAUAAGACUUAAAUAAACUCUCCCCAGAUUUUGAACACCCUAGAACUCUGGAGUUCUACAUUUUUUACAAAGGCUAAUUGUAUCCAUUUUUCAUUUUUCUCCCUUGAAAUACAUAAUAAAUAUUUUGCAGUUGUAGUUCUGGUUUAUAAAUGGGAGUUUUAUCUUUCUCAGUUUUGUGCCUUUUAUACUCUUGAGACUCUGAAAUUAAGGUAAAUCAUAUCAACUUUUAAAAAUCACCUUUUUAACCAUUUUUUAGGGGGUAUUUUUCGUAGUUCUCAGCAGAUAUACGAGGCUGUGUUUUUACUGGGACUUAACACUGACAAACUGAAAAUGGCACAUGAAUUAUUCUUUUCUGAGUGGAUUUAUCUACACAUUGUAAAGGAAGAUGAAUUGAAUCAGACAGUAUGUGGGUGUGGCUGCUGGGGAGAGAAUAUUGAGAUUAGAGUCCUUCUGCCUAAAUAUGCUUGUUCUCUAACUCCCUUUCUAAUGCACGUUUGGACCAGCUCCCAAAUUCUUAUUUCUCCAUGUUCCCUGAAUUUGUUUUUGUCUCAGGGCCACCUAUGGUCAUUCUCUGUCCCAAUUCUGGCAUCCUGUUCUUAUUACACCUUUGCUGCCCCCCCCCCCCCCAUCUUCCUUACAUUGUCCCUUCCAGUGUUCUGUUUUCUCUGCUGACAUUGGGGAGCUAUAGGACACUCUAGAGAAGCUCACAGGAUCACGGUUGUCUCCCUGUAAAUUCACAUUCUCAAAAUCCAGCUGGUUCUCUGCUGUCUGGUCUGAUGAGUGGGUAGCAGAGAUGUUUGUGUUCUGGCAACUGAUGAUUUGGUAGCACUGUGUGUCAGGUUGAGAAGGAUCCUGGAGCCUGGUUUGGAGUUCUAUGAUGGGCAGAGGUCCCUGCCAUCAUCACAGGGGUAGAAGGAGCUUGUGUCUAGUGGGUUUACCCCUCUGGUGGAGUGGAAGCCCUGUGGAUUUGCAGCCUGACAGGCUUGAGGUUGAUUUGCAACCUCUGAAGUUCAGGAUUCUUAUUCGUAAGAUGGAAGCCAAGGGAGUAUUGUUCAUAGAAUUGUAAAUCUCCAGUGAAGAUUUGCAACAUAGAUUGUGUAGUAAGGGUUGGUGUGUGUUAAGUCCUGCUCCUCUCCAUUCUCAGAAACACUUUUCUGUUUCUUCUUUGAGUUGUUAUUGUUCUUCUCAACAUGGUAACUUUUCCAUGUGCUGCUCUUUCCAACCCUGUAGCCUUGAGUUCCACCACAAGGGGCUCUUGGCAUGGGGGCAUCCUUCCUGUGCACAGACCAUCUCUAGUUGGUCUAGUACAGGGCAACGUGAGAACACUGUAAAAGUAAAACAAACAGAUCAGAGAUGCUGAAGCCAGUGAAGAUGGAGGCGGAAGAGGGCAGGUGGUGCCCUCUUUUGUAAAGGAAGACGACGCCCCCCUUUUCCUGGUGUCGUCUUUCCCGGGUGCUUCCUGACCUGGCUGUGACCCAUAGCACUGGUUCAGCCCCUCCAGUGCCUUUUCCUUAUCCAGCUCCAGAGUGCCAGGGAACACAUGGUGUUAUGUAAAGGCAUGAGGUGUGUUUGUAAUAUGACGAGCAGGCAUCCUGCUCAGGUGUUCCUUUUUUCAACAAAAAUCUGGUGUUUAGUGUUGUUUUUAAUAGUGCUCUUUGGUUAGAAGAGACCUUAUAUUUUUAGAGCACCUUUAGUUUUACAGCAAAACUGAAGGGAGCAGGCUCUCUGGUAGACCCUCUCACCCUGCUGGUUUCUGCCCACUGACAUCUUGCUUUGUCUGCUGCCUUGGCACAGCUGAUGAAGCAGUAUCAGUACAUUGUUAUUGGCUCAUUCCACAGUCCACACUGAAGUUCACUUUCGGUGUUGUAUGGUCUGUGGGUUUGGACAGAGCAUACUGACCUGUGUCCAGCAAGACAGGGUUGUGCAGACUAGUUUCCCUACCCUGAGAACCGCUUCACCCAUGCCUCCUUCCUCUCCACACUCCUGGCAACCCCUGAUAUUCCCAUCUGUUUAGUUUUGUGUAGUAGUAAGGUAAGAAAUAAACCAAAUCUGAACUUAAUCUGAAGAAGAAACGUAGCAGGAACCUGGGUAGUUGAGCCAGAAAGGCAAAGUAUCUGUGCGUGGCUGCUGCUGUGGUCUGCCUCUGUCUGCAGAGUGGUCCCUGGGCCCAGCCUGUGACAGGAAGGCCAUGCUGUCCAUCCUCUACCCCGCACAAAAGGGGCCAGAAGUCAGUUCUGGAGCAGGUCACUGGGGCCACACGAUUGAGCUGGGGGCUGGAACUGACUCGAAAAUGACCAGCUAAUUCCCUAUUGUUCACACAGAAAUAGUUUCAUUAUGUUUUAGUCAUACAUGUAAAAUUAAAAUGGAAGGGAUGAUGUGGUGAGGAGUGGCAGUAAUAGUGAUGACAACCUAACAAUGGCAGUGAUGCCCCUGGAGCCGGGCGAUGCCCCUGGGAGCAGGGUGAAGCCCCUAAGAGCUGGUUACUUGCUGGCAUCAGUUGGCACAUCUGGGUGUAUCUGACAUGGGCUCUGAGCUGCCCUGCCUGGCUGCAUGUGGACCCUGCUGCCCACUGUUGAGCUUUCUAAGAGCUGAGGUCUCAGCGGUGCUUGUAGCUCAGUAGGUAGGGCACCAGUCACAUACACCGAGGCUGGCGGGUUCAAACCUGGCCUGGGCCAGCUAAAACAACAAUGACAACUGCAACAAGAAAAAUAGCCUGGCAUUGUGGCGGCCUGUAGUCCAGCUACUUGGGAGGCUGAGGCAAGAGAAUUGCUUAAGCCCAAGAGUUUGAGGUUGCUGUGAGCUGUGAUGGCACAGCACUCUACUAAGGGCGACACAAUGAGAUUCUGUCUCAAAAAAAAAAAAAAAUGAGUGCUGAGGUCUCAGUCUCACAGGUUGUCAGUGCUGACUGUACACAAGGAAGGUGCUGAGAGUGGGCCUUCCUGGGAGGCCACCAGGGAGUGUGAGCCAGACCACAGCAGCCCUCAUCACAGAGAGGCAGGCUUCAUUUUUAGUUUUUGAAAAGAAACAGAAACAUAGAAUGACAGGAGGCUAGGAUGCGUUGAGCCAGCCUCUGAGCUGCCCCUUCCCCACUUGUGUCAGGAUUAUGACGCAGCCAGGGCAAGUCCUUGCGUCCAGACAUUGGCCGUGUUGAUGCACUCCCCCUCCCACACAACCCACGACAGGGCAUCCAUACAGGUUGGAGAUGCGUUCUGGGCAUUUUUACAACUUCCUUAGACCCCUCGGCUGGCAGAGGUGAGUCUAGUUGUAACCCUGUGACUGCACCUGCCUGGCCUCUCUCUGUACUUUGGUAGCAAACUUAAACUGCAUCUACGAGAGGCCUCAUGUGGUGCUGGUGUGCUGACUUGUGUUUGUUGUGUCGUUAAUGUAAGUGUUAUCCUCCUAAGAAGAAUGUGAACAGAUUUUGUUAGUGGGAAUAAUUAACUGGGAGUAAUGCUCAGAGACAGAAAAAAAAAAUGCCAAAGAGUUUUCAGGGUCUCAGGCCCCCCCAAACAAGAAAGCAGGUGUUAGGGUGUGGAGAAGUGAGAACCCUGGGUGUUGCUGGUGGGAGUAGAAAAUGGUGUAGCCGCUGAGAAAGACAGGACGGAGGUCCCUCAAAGUGAAAAACGUGACUACUGCCUGAUCCAGCAAUUUCACUUUGGGGUAUAUACCCAAAAGAAUUGGAAGAAAAGGAGACGGGUAUGUCCAUGUUCACAGCGCAGCAGGUGGAGGCAGCCCAGGGUCCUCUGACAGGAGAGUGGGUGAGCGAGAUGUGGUCUGUCCACACAGAAUGGGUGAACCUGAAGGGAGUUAUGCUCUGCAAUAAGACGGUCACAAAGGGGCAAAUACUGUAUGAUUCCACUCACACGAGGGGCCAGAGUGGUUAAAUUCACAGAGACAGAAAGGCAAUGGCUGUGGGGGGAGGGAAGUUAGCAUUUCAUGGUGAUGGAUUUUCAGUUGGGAUGGUGACCGUCUGGAGGUGGUGGAGGUGGCUGCACAGCAGUGUGACUGCGGGAGGCCAUGGAUCCAUGCCCUUAGCACUAGUUACUGCAGUAAAUUUUAUAUAUAUGGAUUUUAGUAUAAGAAAAUUGAGGAGGGGAGUGGCUUUGGGCCCCUGUAGAGAAUUGACUAGAGGUUCUUUGCAGAGGCCCUGGUGGCCAGGGCUCGCUCUUCCUUGCUUCUCCAAGAAAGUGGUCAGGCAGACAGCACAGGUCUGCCUGCAGCUGCUGCUGAAGCUGAUGGAGCAUGUGGAUUGUCACCUGGCUGAGGAAUCACUCCUGGGAUCUGUCAGCAGACUUGUGCCAUCCUUCCUCCUGGGCUGACCAGUCUUUUGUGUUGUCCUGCUAGCAUGUCCCCAUCUGACUCUUGUUGGUGCUCACGUGUGUGCACAUGCACACACGUGUGGCCGUGGUUGGGACAGCUGAAGGGUUGAGGAGAGUGCUGAGUGCCCAUUGGUCAAUAGCCACAAGAAGCAACCACCUGGUGGACCGAGAUGGAGUUGGGAGGAGGAGGAGCAGCCAGGUCCUGUGUAUGCAGUCCUGGUGGCCACCAGAGCUCUAGGCAGGGGCAGCUGGCCUGUGUGGGAGAUGUUGCCCAGAGCCCAUCAGCGCCCUUCAGUAGCCGGUGGGGUUCUGGGCCUCCUCUGUAGAGAGGAAGGUUAGACGCGGAUGCCUGCCUGUCCUCCCUCUGUGGGGCUGGUGGAUGCAGGUGGAGUUCUGCCUCAGCGCUGCCUCUGGGCUUGGGUUUGCUGGCGUCUGUCUGAUUGUCCUAAAGCAGCAGCCUGGGAGCCUUCAAGAGAAUUUAUGGACUCAGGAGUUGUAGCCUCCAUCGUGGCAUCUCUGGAGUGGGUUCCACUGGCUCUGUGCUGGUGUGGGCAUGGCAGUCUGGUUUUUGAAUGAAUCUUGGAUUCAUGUGAAGCUUAAGUCUCUGCUUCCUCCAGAAAAGCUCAGACUCUGAGAAGUAGUGUUCACGAGAGGGACCAGGGGAAUAUCCUUGAAACUAAGUUCGUAAACCCCCAGGCUCGGAUGCUGGUGGCUGAGUUGAUAAGUGGCUCUGGGACUUGCUUUGCAGGGUGGACUAUGUCCUGGUGUCUGCACAGCAUCCCAAGAGAAGUGCUGCAGGGUGACUGAAGUGACGUUCAGCAGUGAGGGGCGCAGUGCUUUGUGAAUUCGUGAGCUUACUUGUCAUACCUCAUUUAUAUGGAUGUAUAGAGAGUAAUGUUUUAGCUAGAAACAAUUAUUGGUAUUAAUGCUGAAAGUACCUGAUGUUCUUAUAAUUGAACUGAGCCUUUAUUUUGAACUUAAAAAGUUCCAUUAAUGGGGCGACUGUUUUACAGAACAUGGGGUACUUAGCUGGGUUGUCAUUUACUUUUUGCACUGUGAUAUAUCACAGAAUUUUGUGUUUUGUCUUUAAGAGACUUAAUCUCAGUUUUACAUAAAGGAAUGAACUUUCCAUGGGAACUGCCAGUCCCAAAAAUGUGUGAGCUGUAAAUUUGUCACUGACAAAUGAAUUAAACCAAAAUGUGUUUUUGCCCAAACCACUGUCAUUUAGGAGGGCAGUUGGAAAGGCGGUUUCUCAUUCGUACACUGGGAUGUGUGUGAGUCCCUCUCACAGCAGUCAGAUGGCCAGGGUGAGGGCCACGCUUGCGCUUAGAGAGUGCUGCGUGUCCUGUGUCACUUGGAGGGUCUGUGUCCUGUGUGCCACUUGGAGAGUCUUUGCGUAUCCUGUGUGUCACUUGCAGAGUCCUGGGACUGUGUCGGCUCUUCUGCCCUCACUUCUGGUGAAAUCCAUCUGUCCUCUCCCUCCCCGGGAGGAAGCAGCAGCACAGGGUGGGGUCGAGCACAGGGCGGGCUGGGUCCUGUGUGAUGAGUACUGGGCUAGACAUCGGUGAUGGCAGCAGGGUCGCCCUCGAGCUGCGCACAGUAAGUGAUUGGGGACACCUGUGUCAAUCAGUCACCAGUGUCAAGGCGUCAGCUGCCCUUCCCUCGGGGCCAAGUUCUGGCUGCCGUGAUUUGGGGCCUGGUGGUUUGUUAGUGCGGCCUUCAUGACAUGUCUCCUAGGCAGACACUGUAUUAUUUACACCAUAAGGCUUCAUUUGUAUGGUUAGCUGCCUCGCCAGCAGCAGAGUGACGGACCAUCCCUUGCUCCACAGCCGCUGUAAGGUGCUACCACAGGGACAGCUGGGCUGUCAGCUCAGUAAAACAGCUUGGAGACCUGCCACUAGUGGUGGUGUGAUGUGGCUUCAUUUUUCACUGACCUCCUACUGUAUCCUGGAAGUAGAUCUUGAGGGAAGGCUUUAUAAAAUGGUAAUCUCUGACAGAGCCACUUAAAAAUAAACCUUUCUGAAAUGUCUGUGUCUGCAAGGGAGAUCCAUGAGGGAAAAGCUGUGCCCUCCUGAUGCCCUGUGGCUGUGUGGCUGGGGACUGGGCCUCUGGUCUCCAGAAGUGGGAGGUGGUUGUGUGUUUUGCUGCUGUUUUCUGCUCUGGUGAGGUUAAAGGUGCACCCCAGGGAGUUCGUGUUGAGAGCCCAGUGCUGACACAGGCCUUUGCUGCUGAGGCCAGGCAUGUGUGCAGAGGGUGGCUGUGAGCCAACAGGUGACUUCAGAAAGGAAGACGUCAGGUGGGGGGAUCGUAGGGGUGAGUGCCCAUUACCUGGCUGUGGGCACACAGGGUGUGAGAUGGGGCCUCCCUUGCACUCGCAGACAUGGGUGCUGCCCCCUGCAUAAUUUUCUAGCUCGGGCAUCAUAAAAUACUUUGUUUGCCAAGCCAGGAUAUUUAAUCACAUUUAAAAAAAAAUAAACUUGAUGAAGUAGAGGGAAGGGCAUGACGACUCUCUCUCCCGUGUGUCCACUCAGUCGACACUUGUAACCCAGCUGAUCCUCGUGAUGGCAGAUCUGGCUUCAGCUCUGCCAACACCCUGGCCCCACUGGCCCUGCGUAAUCUUGGAGCAGUGUUUUGAUACCGUGCCAUUGAAUCUUGUGAAUUUAUUGGUGUGUGAGUUGACUCUUGGACAGCAUGGGCCUGAACUGUGCAGGUCCACUUGUGGGGAGCUGCUGCAGCCUCUGCCACCCUGAGACAGCGAGUGUCCCCACCCCACCCCUGUGCGGUGCAGAGCGAGGACCUUUGUGAUGAUCCCUUUGUAGUAAGUCUGUUUUCUCCUCCUUAUGAUUUUCUCGUAGCAUUUUCUUUUCGGUAGCUUACUUUACUGUAAGAAUGCAGUGUAUAAUCAGUGCCUAUAACACUGGGUUAAUCAACUCCUAUGUCAUCAGUAAGCCUCCAGGUCAGCCAUGGGCUGUUAGUAGUCGCGUUUUGGGGAGUCAGAGUCACAGACAGAUUCUCACCUGUGCCAGUGGCAGGGCCUCCAGCCCACACGUUAAAGAGUCAUUUGAACCUUCAAAGAUACUAAUGUGAUAGCAGAAUCAUUAUUACACCUGAAAAAUCAGUGAUACCUUUAAACACCUAGGUGAUGUUAAAUGUUUUUGAUUGUGUGAAAUUGUAAAAAAUGUUCCAGCUUUACUUGGUGUUCACUUAAGUUCCCUGCGUGCCACUGUCGAGGUUUCUCUUAUGUCUGUUAGUCUGUAGGUUCCCAGUGGUUCCUCCACAUUCCUUUCCCUGUUUCUUUUUUUCCUCUUUGGAAUUUACUUGUUAAAGAAUCCAGGUCAUGUCCAAUCAUCGGCAGCUGGUUUGUUGCCUCAUCCCUUUGUGUGGUCAGAUGUGUCUGUUGUGCCUGCCUAGGUGAGCCGGCGUCGUAGCUGCCUGUUGGGCAGGUGAGCCGGCGUCGUAGCUGCCUGUUGGGCAGGUGAGCCGGUGUCGUAGCUGCCUGUUGGGCAGGUGAGCGGCGUCACGGCCUGUUGCUAGGUGAGCUGACAUCAUGGUCACCUGUUGUCAGGUGAGCCGGUGUCACGGCCGCCUGUUGUCAGGCGAGCCGGCAUCACGCCGCCUGUUGGGCAGGUGAGCCGGCGUCAUGGCCGCCUGUUGUGCAGGUGAGGCGUGUCAUGGCCCAGCAGGUCUUGGUGUGCUGAGUCUGCUGUAUGGAGACUUGAUUCUUCACCUUGUUUACCAGUCUUUAAGGUAAUGAUGUCUCUUCAUUUGUGCUUCUGUAACAGAAUGCCCAACACUGGGUAAUUGUAAGGAACAGUGAUGUAUUUCUUGUGUUUCCAAGGUCAAGGGCCUUCCUGCCGUGUCAUCCGGCUGCAGAAAGCAGAGGGCAGGAGUGAAGGGGGACGGAACUGACCCUUUACCAGCAGCUCUCCUGAGAUGGUGCCCUGCUCACUUCUUGAAGGCCCCAUCUCCCAGCACUGAGCUUAGGGGCCUUACUUACCUUUCACACUGCCUUGCCUCUGUCACCCUACAAGUCUAUGUGUACCAUUUCCUGCCCAGCACGUGGAAUCAUUUCUUGAGAGAGCUCAGCCCUGUUGGUGUGAAGGGUGGCCGCACGGUGCUCACCGUGGUGGGGUUGGUCACUGCUGUUCGUCCUCUCUGUGGGCAGAGCAGGAAGGGGCUGUGUGAAGAUCAGACACUCCAUGAGUGUGUGCUGCUCCCGCCAAGCUAGAUUCAGGCAUUACGAGACCCUCACGGCGCUAGUCCUUCUCGCCUGUCUCCUUGUCCCCACACUGCAAGUCCCGGUUUUUUAAGAAGAGCUCACUUCACUCUGGAAGUGGCCAUAUUCACAAGGAGUGUCCUUUGAGAGGUGUUGCUGCUGUCUGUUUUAAAGUUACUCACAAUAGCUUAGGGCCUUUUGUUUCUUUAUUUCGUAAAGUUUUUCAGUUUUAUAACUUAGAAAAUGUCAUCAUGCUUUCAAAGUCCAGUUUAUAAAACGUCAGGGUCUGACCUUCCCCCUCCUUCACUGCUCCUUCCCACCUCACACUGGUAACUUUCUAAAAGGCUGUCUGGCUCUCUUUAAGUAACCGUGUGAACACCUCCCUCGUCCUCCGUGUUGGUGACUGGGGCUUUCUGUGCUGUACAAACUGUGUCUCUGGGUGGCAUGUCCUGCCCUAAGUGCUGUGUCCCUGGGUGGCGUGUCCUGUCCUAAGUGCUUAUCCCUGGGCGGCGUUUCCUGUGCUAAAUGCAGUGUCCCUGGGUGGAGUGUCCUGCCCUCUGGACAGUGCACGGAGACCCCUUCUGCUUGGAACCACAUUGUGCUCCACAGGUGGUUUCUGUCCUGGACUGUUCAGCCUGUUCCUGUUGGGGGACCUUUGUGUUGUGUUGGAGAGACAAGCCUGAGUUUCCAGCAAAUGAAAACAAGGAGUCACGUGGUCAAGGUGCUCCACAAAACAGUGUUUGGGCCAGAGAGCCAUUCAGCAGACAAAGAAGGACUCUGCGGCCACACUUGCCAUGAACGGGUAGUAGUUGUGAGCACCUGCGUGCCAGUGACACAGCAGCGUCCAGGGUGCAGGAGUAUUGUGUGCAGAUGGUGGAAGUAAGUUCAGGAGGAGACACUUAAUUGCAGCAUGGACAGGGCCUGAGUGAGGUCAUAGAGGGCAGAUGGUCUCAUCAGUGAGCUGACUCCUGACAGACACCAGGUGUUACAGCCAGGUAAGUUUUCAACUCCUUGGGUUAGAAAAAAUAAUGAGGUAAAUCAAAACAUAAAGGAUGAUAAAAGCAGAGUUAAUUACGUAGAAGAUAUAGGUAGAUGAAUUAAUAAGUCGAAGUCCUGGUUUUGUGAGAAAACAAACCACUGAUGGUUGAUUAUUAAGCCACAUGACUGGAAAGGUGGGAUGUGCAGAUACACAUAGUGAUCGGGGGGCAGUCACUGUGAUGAGGACAGGCCAGGCCUUGACACGUGUUCACAUCGCACACUUCUGGGCAAAGAAAUUGGAACAUUUAGAUGAAGUGGACAGUUCACCAAAAUUGAUCCCAGUAAAGGUAGAAGGCUAACGCAGCCCAGUGUCUACAGGAGAAGGGGGGAGAGUGACCAAGGGGUGACCUCAGGGGACUCAGUGUCCAGGUGGCUUCCCAGGGACACUCCACCAGGCCUGUAGGCUUGAGGUGACCCUGGUGCUCCGUGACCUUUGUCAGAAUGUAGAACAAGGAGAACUCUUGAGAUUCUUUCUAUGAUACGGAGGUAACGAUGGCACAUCUAAUAAACACAGAGAAAUAAUACGGAUGUUGAUGCAAAAGUCCUGUGUAAAAUGUCGGUGAGUACCCCAGUACCACAGUGAGAGUGUAUACCGGGAGAUACUCCUUACCAGAUGAGGUGGGUUGGGGUGGAAAAUCAUACGAUUAUCUUCAUAAAUGCUGAAAAGGUUUGACAAAAUUUAAUACCCAUUUCUAAACGGAAACUCGAGAAAAUAGGAAUUGAUAGACCCUUCCUAGAUACUUCUUGACAUGGUAACAUGUGUUUGGCUACAGUUUUAAAACCUACAAUUAUACCAAAAAAUGACUAAAGACUUUCCCUGCAGUCAGGAGCACGGCAUAGAUGCCCACGUCUGUAAUGCUGCUUACUGAAUUAUAGGCAGAAGAAUUAGGAAAAAGUAGUAAGACUGUAUCUUUUUGGAGGUUAAAUGAUACAUAUAAAACCCCCUGAGAAUCAAUGAUAAAACUAACUCAAAAGAAUUGGUGGAAGGUGUAACGGAUGAAGAACUUGGAACACAGGCCACAGACAUGAUGGCCGUGACCUCUGACCCAGGGGAGGUGGGAGGGUGAAUCUGUCACAUGGGUGCUACAUUUCCCAAGCUUGGUAGCCACGCCCAGGUCACGUGAAGUAAUGUUCUUACAAGGUACACGUGGGAGCGAAUGAGGGAAAGACCGGUGGGGUGCUGUGCAGAGAGAGGGACACGGCAGGCCAGAGGAGGCUGCUCCAGUCAGAGGACGGUGGGGUGCUGUGCAGCAGAGAGAGGGACACGGCAGGCCAGACGAGGCUGCUCCAGUCAGAGGACGGUGGGGUGCUGUGCAGAGAGAGGGACACGGCAGGCCAGACGAGGCUGCUCCCAGAG